rnacentral:rRNA from 1 species
GUGGGGAAUCUUAGACAAUGGGCGCAAGCCUGAUCUAGCCAUGCCGCGUGAUCGAUGAAGGCCUUAGGGUUGUAAAGAUCUUUCAGUGGGGAAGAUAAUGACUGUACCCACAGAAGAAGCCCCGGCUAACUCCGUGCCAGCAGCCGCGGUAAUACGGAGGGGGCUAGCGUUGUUCGGAAUUACUGGGCGUAAAGCGCACGUAGGCGGAACAGAAAGUCAGAGGUGAAAUCCCAGGGCUCAACCUUGGAACUGCCUUUGGAACUCCUGUUCUUGAGUUCGAGAGAGGUGAGUGGAAUUCCGAGUGUAGAGGUGAAAUUCGUAGAUAUUCGGAGGAACACCAGUGGCGAAGGCGGCUCACUGGCUCGAUACUGACGCUGAGGUGCGAAAGCGUGGGGAGCAAACAGGAUUAGAAACCCGAGUAGUCC